GCGGAUGUAGCUCAAUGGGCAGAGCAAGGCCACCCCACGGCCAAGACAUGGGUUCGAGACCCGUCAUUCGCUCCA
rnacentral:tRNA from 1 species